ACUAUCAACAACGGAUCUCUUGGCUCUCACGGCAUCGAUGAAGAACGCAGCGAACCGCGAUUUUUGUGACUUGCAGAUGUGAAUCAUCAAUCUUGAACGCACAUUGCGCGGUAUGGCAUUCCGUACCGCGGAUGGAAGGAGCGUGUUCCCUCUGGGAUCGCAUUGCUUUCUUGAAAUGGAUUUUUAAACUCUCAAUUAUUACGUCAUUUCACCUCUUCAUCCGAGAUUGCCAGCGAACUUAAACAUAUCAAUAAGCGGAGAAAGAAACCAACAGGGAUUGCCUCGGUAACGGCGAGUGAAGCGGCAAAGCUCAAAUUUGAAACCCUCGGGAUUAUGGUGAAGAUUUGGCGUGGAGAAGCUAACCAAGUUGCUUGGAAUAGUACGUCAUAGAGAUUUGACAACCCCGUCUGGCUAACCGUUCUCCAUGGUGCCUUAUCAAGAGUCGAGUUGUUUGGGAAUGCAGCUCAAAGUGGGUGGUAAACUCAUCUAAGCUAAAUACUGGUGAGAGACCGUGUGAACAAGUACUGAAGGAAAGGUGAAAGAACUUUGAAAGAGGAGUGAAAUGGUAUGUGAAAUUGUUGAUGGGGAAGGAAGUGGAGAGUGGCCGAGGUUUCAGCCGCCCUCGUGGGCGGUGUACUGCCGACGCCGAGUGCAUCGAUGUGGACGAGGGUUACAAAUGGGGCGCCUUCGGGGCGUUCUCCCCUAACCCUCACACUGCCACCGACGACAUAAUCCCACCCAUUUCACCCGUCUUGAAACACGGACCAAGGAGUCUAAUGGAUAUGUGAGUGUUAGGGUGGCAAACCCCAGCGCAAUGAGAAAUUGAAUGGAUUCGUUCAGAAUCGACCGAACUUGAUUAUUAUGACAGUUUGAGUAAACACAUCCAUUGGGACCGAAAGAUGGUGAACUAUGCCUGGAUAGGGUGAGUGGAAACUCUGAUGGAGGCUCGUAGCGGUUCUGACGUGCCGUCGAUCGUAGGAUCUGGGUAUAGGGCGAAAGACUAAUCGAACCAUCUAGUAGCUGGUUCCUGCCGAAGUUCCCUCAGGAUAGCGAAGCUAUCCAGUUUGUAAUUAAAGCGAAGAUGAUUAGGCUGAAGUAUUGGGGCAGAAAUGCCCUCAGCAUUACUCAAACUUUAAAUAUGUAAGAAGCCUUGGUUGCUGAAAUCGAACCGUGGCUACGAAUGAAGGCUUCUAGUGGGCCAUUUUGGUAAGCAGAACUGGCGAUGCGGGAUGAACCGAACGUGGAGUUAAGGUGCCGGAAUACACUCAUCAGACACCACAAAGGUGUUAGUUUAUCUGAGCAGCCGGACGGUGGCCUGCUGGAAGUCGGAAUCCGCUAAAGAAUUAAUGUCACAACUCACCGGCCGAAUAGACUAGCCCCCUGAAAAUGGAUGGCGUAAGCGUGUUACCUAUACUCUACCGAGGUUUCCUCUCUGCGGUAGGCAGGCAUUAAGGGGUUGUUGAAGCGUUGGCCGUGAGGCUGCGUCGAACGGCCUGGUGGAUCUUGGUGGUAGUAGCAAAUAUUCAAAUGAGAACUUUGAAGAGACUGAAGUGCAGGGAAAGGUUCCGUGUGAACAGCAGUUGGACAUACAGGUAAGUCGAUCCUAAGGGUGGCAUAGCUUUGUCGCGCGUACGGCCCGAUAAGGACCUUCUCCAAGGGAAGCCGGUUGAAAUUCCGGCACUUGGAUGUGGAUUCUCCACGGCAACGUAACUGAAUGUGGGGACGGUGGCACAAGUCUUGGAAGGAGUUAUCUUUUCUUUUAACGGAGUCAACACACCCUGGAAUUAGUUUGUCUAGAGAUGGGGUAUCGUUCCGGAAGGGGGCAGCUUUGUCCCCUCCGAUGCCUGUGACGCCCCUUGAAAACCCGCAGGAAGGAAUAGUUUUCACGCCAAGUCGUACUGAUAACCGCAGCAGGUCUCCAAGGUAGACGACCUCUAGUUGAUAGAAUAAUGUGAAUGGGGAAGUCGGCAAAAUAGAUCCGUAACUUCGGGAUAAAAGAUUGGCUCUGGGGGUUGGUGGAUGGAAGCGUGGGGAGACCCCAAGGGACUGGCGGCUGGAGCAACUGGCAGCCGGACCCCGCGGCGGGUACUGCGUCGCUCCCGUCCAUCAUCAACUCACCAGAACUGGUACGGACAAGGGGAAUCUGACAUCUAAUUAAAACAUGGCUUUGCGAUGGUUGUAAAACAAUGUUGACGCAAAGUGAUUUCUGCUUAGUGCUCUGAAUGUCCAAAGUGAAGAGAAAUUCAACCAGAAAGCGCGGGUAAACGGCGGGAGUAACCUUGACUCUCUUAAAGGGUAGCCAAAUGCCUCGUCAUCUAAUUAGUGACGCGUGAAUGGAUUAACAGAUUCCCUGUCCCUAUCUGCUAUCUAUGACCACAGCCAAGGGGAACGGGCUUGGCAGAAUCAGCGGGGAAAAGAAGACCCUGUUGAGCUUGACUCUGGUUGACAUUGUGAAGAGACAUAGGUGUAGAAUAAGUGGGAGCUUCGGCGCCGGUGAAAUACCACUACCCUUAUCGUUUCUUUACUUAUUUAGUAAGAGAUGGAAGUGGUUUAACAACCAUUUCUAGCAUUCCUUUCCAGGCUGAAGACAUUGUCAGGUGGGGAGUUUGGCUGGGGCGGCACACAUCUGUUAAAAGAUAACGCGAAUGUCUAAGGGGGACUCAAUGAGAACAGGAAAUCUCAUGGGAACAAAGGGUAAAGUCCCCUUGAUUUUGAUUUUCAGGUGAAUACAAACCAUGAAGAGGUGUGGCCUAUCCCGAUCCUUUAGUUGUUCGGGUUUGAACCUAGAGGUGCCAGAAAAGUUACCACAAGGGACCAACUGGCUUGUGGCAGUCAAGCGUUCAUAGCGACAUUGCUUUUGAUCCUUCGAUGUCGGCUCUUCCUAUCAUACCGAAGCAGAAUUCGGUAAGCGUUGGAUUGUUCACCCACUAAUAGGGGCAAUGAGCUGGGUUUGAACCGUCGUGAGACGGAGUUAGUUUUACCUACUGAUGGACUUGUUGCAGUAAUUGAACUGGUACAGAGGAACAGUUCAUUCGGAUAGUGGUGUUUGCUGCUGUCUGAUCAGGCAAUGCAUGAAGCUGCUUAUCCGCUGGAUUAUGGCUGAACGCCUCUGGUCAGAACCCAUGCUGAAGUGAUGAUUGGGGGUGGAUGGAUAUGAAUAAGUAUCGCAGUACCGGAGGUUGGGUGGAUAAAAUUGUCUGCUCUUCCUGAUUGCUUAGAUUGCCAACGAAA
rnacentral:rRNA from 1 species